rnacentral:rRNA from 1 species
UUGUAGUCUGCAACUCGACUACAUGAAGCUGGAAUCGCUAGUAAUCGCAGAUCAGAAUGCUGCGGUGAAUACGUUCCCGGGUCUUGUACACACCGCCCGUCACACCAUGGGAGUCGGAAAUGCCCGAAGCCGGUGACCCAACCAAAAGGAGGGAGCUGCCGAAGGUGGAGCCGGUAACUGGGGUGAAGUCGUAACAAGGUAGC